ACUAAUAUAAAAGAGAAAUUUGAUAAUUAUAAAGAUGAUAUUGAAAUUAGUUAGAAUAUAUACAUUACCAUAAGGAGCUACAAAUUUAGUGGUACAUAUGAUGAAUGGAAUGCAUAAGGUAUUAAGAUAUUUUAUUAUAGGAAAAAUAAUACUUUUUUAAAAUGAUGUACUAAUUAUGGGAUGUAAAGAAGAAGAAAAAGAUAGAACAUUGGAUUCAAAGGGAUGUAGAAAGUUUGUAGCAGAUUAUAUUGAUGAUUGUGAGAAGAU
rnacentral:lncRNA from 1 species